GAUGAACGCUGGCGGCGUGCCUAAUACAUGCAAGUCGAGCGAACGGACGAGAAGCUUGCUUCUCUGAUGUUAGCGGCGGACGGGUGAGUAACACGUGGAUAACCUACCUAUAAGACUGGGAUAACUUCGGGAAACCGGAACUAAUACCGGAUAAUAUUUUGAACCGCAUGGUUCAAAAGUGAAAGACGGUCUUGCUGUCACUUAUAGAUGGAUCCGCGCUGCAUUAGCUAGUUGGUAAGGUAACGGCUUACCAAGGCAACGAUGCAUAGCCGACCUGAGAGGGUGAUCGGCCACACUGGAACUGAGACACGGUCCAGACUCCUACGGGAGGCAGCAGUAGGGAAUCUUGCGCAAUGGGCGAAAGCCUGACGGAGCAACGCCGCGUGAGUGAUGAAGGUCUUCGGAUCGUAAAACUCUGUUAUUAGGGAAGAACAUAUGUGUAAGUAACUGUGCACAUCUUGACGGUACCUAAACAGAAAGCCACGGCUAACUACGUG
rnacentral:rRNA from 1 species